GUAUUUUGCAAUCUGUCUGGGACAUCUGUCACUCCAUUGACUGCCAGGGUUGGCUCUGCUGAUGGGGCUGUAUAGGCUGGUGUCUGUUUCCUCCCUCACCGCUCCAUGUGUGUCCCUCCCGAAGCUGUGCACUCGGUGGAAGAGGAUGACCUUCUCCCAAAAGAGGAGGACGGGAAUUCAGAACCUCCAAACAAGCUCAAGGUUCCUUCUGCAGUAUUUGAAGACGUGCGUUGUGAGAA
rnacentral:sRNA from 1 species